rnacentral:rRNA from 1 species
CAAUAGCGUAUAUUAAAGUUGUUGCAGUUAAAAAGCUCGUAGUUGGAUUUCGGAGUGGGCCAGUUGGUCCGCCGCAAGGUGUGUUACUGACUGGUUUGCUCUUCUUCGCAAAGACUGCGUGUGCUCUUCAGUGAGUGUGCGUAGGAUUUACGACGUUUACUUUGAAAAAAUUAGAGUGUUCAAAGCAGGCUAUUGCUUGAAUACAUGAGCAUGGAAUAAUGGAAUAGGACUUUGGUCCCAUUUUGUUGGUUUCUAGGGCCGAAGUAAUGAUUAAGAGGGACAAUUGGGGGCAUCCGUAUUUCGUUGUCAGAGGUGAAAUUCUUGGAUUUACGAAAGACGAACAACUGCGAAAGCACUUGCCAAGAGUGUUUUCAUUAA